GACUAAGCGUACACGGUGGAUGCCCUGGCAGUCAGAGGCGAUGAAGGGCGUGCUAAUCUGCGAUAAGCGCCGGUAAGGUGAUAUGAACCGUUAUAACCGGCGAUACCCGAAUGGGGAAACCCAGUGUGACUCGUCACACUAUCAUUAACUGAAUCCAUAGGUUAAUGAGGCGAACCGGGGGAACUGAAACAUCUAAGUACCCCGAGGAAAAGAAAUCAACCGAGAUUCCCCCAGUAGCGGCGAGCGAACGGGGAGGAGCCCAGAGCCUGAAUCAGCAUGUGUGUUAGUGGAAGCGUCUGGAAAGGCGCGCGAUACAGGGUGACAGCCCCGUACACAAAAGCGCAUGUGCUGUGAGCUCGAUGAGUAGGGCGGGACACGUGGUAUCCUGUCUGAAUAUGGGGGGACCAUCCUCCAAGGCUAAAUACUCCUGACUGACCGAUAGUGAACCAGUACCGUGAGGGAAAGGCGAAAAGAACCCCGGCGAGGGGAGUGAAAAAGAACCUGAAACCGUGUACGUACAAGCAGUGGGAGCACCCUUUGGGUGUGACUGCGUACCUUUUGUAUAAUGGGUCAGCGACUUAUAUUCUGUAGCAAGGUUAACCGAAUAGGGGAGCCGGAGGGAAACCGAGUCUUAACCGGGCGUUAAGUUGCAGGGUAUAGACCCGAAACCCGGUGAUCUAGCCAUGGGCAGGUUGAAGGUUGGGUAACACUAACUGGAGGACCGAACCGACUAAUGUUGAAAAAUUAGCGGAUGACCUGUGGCUGGGGGUGAAAGGCCAAUCAAACCGGGAGAUAGCUGGUUCUCCCCGAAAGCUAUUUAGGUAGCGCCUCGUGAAUUCAUCUCCGGGGGUAGAGCACUGUUUCGGCUAGGGGGCCAUCCCGGCUUACCAACCCGAUGCAAACUGCGAAUACCGGAGAAUGUUAUCACGGGAGACACACGGCGGGUGCUAACGUCCGUCGUGAAGAGGGAAACAACCCAGACCGCCAGCUAAGGUCCCAAAGUCAUGGUUAAGUGGGAAACGAUGUGGGAAGGCCCAGACAGCCAGGAUGUUGGCUUAGAAGCAGCCAUCAUUUAAAGAAAGCGUAAUAGCUCACUGGUCGAGUCGGCCUGCGCGGAAGAUGUAACGGGGCUAAACCAUGCACCGAAGCUGCGGCAGCGACACUGUGUGUUGUUGGGUAGGGGAGCGUUCUGUAAGCCUGUGAAGGUGUGUCGUGAGGCAUGCUGGAGGUAUCAGAAGUGCGAAUGCUGACAUAAGUAACGAUAAAGCGGGUGAAAAGCCCGCUCGCCGGAAGACCAAGGGUUCCUGUCCAACGUUAAUCGGGGCAGGGUGAGUCGACCCCUAAGGCGAGGCCGAAAGGCGUAGUCGAUGGGAAACGGGUUAAUAUUCCCGUACUUGGUGUUACUGCGAAGGGGGGACGGAGAAGGCUAUGUUGGCCGGGCGACGGUUGUCCCGGUUUAAGCGUGUAGGUGUGUGUUCCAGGUAAAUCCGGUUCACUUUAACACUGAGGCGUGACGACGAGGCACUACGGUGCUGAAGCAACAAAUGCCCUGCUUCCAGGAAAAGCCUCUAAGCAUCAGGUAACAUCAAAUCGUACCCCAAACCGACACAGGUGGUCAGGUAGAGAAUACCAAGGCGCUUGAGAGAACUCGGGUGAAGGAACUAGGCAAAAUGGUGCCGUAACUUCGGGAGAAGGCACGCUGACACGUAGGUGAAGUGAUUUACUCAUGGAGCUGAAGUCAGUCGAAGAUACCAGCUGGCUGCAACUGUUUAUUAAAAACACAGCACUGUGCAAACACGAAAGUGGACGUAUACGGUGUGACGCCUGCCCGGUGCCGGAAGGUUAAUUGAUGGGGUCAGCGCAAGCGAAGCUCCUGAUCGAAGCCCCGGUAAACGGCGGCCGUAACUAUAACGGUCCUAAGGUAGCGAAAUUCCUUGUCGGGUAAGUUCCGACCUGCACGAAUGGCGUAAUGAUGGCCAGGCUGUCUCCACCCGAGACUCAGUGAAAUUGAACUCGCUGUGAAGAUGCAGUGUACCCGCGGCAAGACGGAAAGACCCCGUGAACCUUUACUAUAGCUUGACACUGAACAUUGAGCCUUGAUGUGUAGGAUAGGUGGGAGGCUUUGAAGUGUGGACGCCAGUCUGCAUGGAGCCGACCUUGAAAUACCACCCUUUAAUGUUUGAUGUUCUAACGUGGACCCGUUACCCGGGUUGCGGACAGUGUCUGGUGGGUAGUUUGACUGGGGCGGUCUCCUCCUAAAGAGUAACGGAGGAGCACGAAGGUUGGCUAAUCCUGGUCGGACAUCAGGAGGUUAGUGCAAUGGCAUAAGCCAGCUUGACUGCGAGCGUGACGGCGCGAGCAGGUGCGAAAGCAGGUCAUAGUGAUCCGGUGGUUCUGAAUGGAAGGGCCAUCGCUCAACGGAUAAAAGGUACUCCGGGGAUAACAGGCUGAUACCGCCCAAGAGUUCAUAUCGACGGCGGUGUUUGGCACCUCGAUGUCGGCUCAUCACAUCCUGGGGCUGAAGUAGGUCCCAAGGGUAUGGCUGUUCGCCAUUUAAAGUGGUACGCGAGCUGGGUUUAGAACGUCGUGAGACAGUUCGGUCCCUAUCUGCCGUGGGCGCUGGAGAACUGAGGGGGGCUGCUCCUAGUACGAGAGGACCGGAGUGGACGCAUCACUGGUGUUCGGGUUGUCAUGCCAAUGGCACUGCCCGGUAGCUAAAUGCGGAAGAGAUAAGUGCUGAAAGCAUCUAAGCACGAAACUUGCCCCGA
rnacentral:rRNA from 1 species